rnacentral:rRNA from 1 species
UACGUAGGGUGCAAGCGUUGUCCGGAAUUACUGGGCGUAAAGCGUGCGCAGGCGGUUUCACAAGCUCGAUGUGAAAGCCCCGGGCUUAACCUGGGAAUGGCAUUGAGGACUGUGGAGCUCGAGUGCGGCAGAGGGAGGUGGAAUUCCACGUGUAGCAGUGAAAUGCGUAGAGAUGUGGAGGAACACCGAUGGCGAAGGCAGCCUCCUGGGCCGACACUGACGCUCAUGCACGAAAGCGUGGGGAGCAAACAGG